rnacentral:rRNA from 1 species
UACAGAGGUCUCAAGCGUUGUUCGGAUUCAUUGGGCGUAAAGGGUGCGUAGGUGGCGCUGUAAGUCGGGUGUGAAAUUUCGGAGCUUAACUCCGAAACUGCAUUCGAUACUGCGGUGCUUGAGGACUGGAGAGGAGACUGGAAUUCAUGGUGUAGCAGUGAAAUGCGCAGAUAUCAGGAAGAACACCCGUGGCGAAGGCGGCUCUCUGGGACGGUACUGACGCUGAGACGCGAAAGCGUGGGGAGCGAACAGG